GAUGAACGCUGGCGGCGUGCCUAAUACAUGCAAGUCGAGCGAACGGACGAGAAGCUUGCUUCUCUGAUGUUAGCGGCGGACGGGUGAGUAACACGUGGAUAACCUACCUAUAAGACUGGGAUAACUUCGGGAAACCGGAGCUAAUACCGGAUAAUAUUUUGAACCGCAUGGUUCAAAAGUGAAAGACGGUCCUGCUGUCACUUAUAGAUGGAUCCGCGCUGCAUUAGCUAGUUGGUAAGGUAACGGCUUACCAAGGCAACGAUGCAUAGCCGACCUGAGAGGGUGAUCGGCCACACUGGAACUGAGACACGGUCCAGACUCCUACGGGAGGCAGCAGUAGGGACUCUUCCGCAAUGGGCGAAAGCCUGACGGCGCAACGCCGCGUGAGUGAUGAAGGUCUUCGGAUCGUAAAACUCUGUUAUUAGGGAAGAACAUAUGUGUAAGUAACUGUGCACAUCUUGACGGUACCUAAUCAGAAAGCCACGGCUAACUACGUG
rnacentral:rRNA from 1 species